rnacentral:rRNA from 1 species
CAGUAGCCGCGGUAAUACGGAGGAUCCAAGCGUUAUCCGGAAUCAUUGGGUUUAAAGGGUCCGUAGGCGGUCUUGUAAGUCAGUGGUGAAAGCCCAUCGCUCAACGGUGGAACGGCCAUUGAUACUGCAGGACUUGAAUUAUUGGGAAGUAACUAGAAUAUGUAGUGUAGCGGUGAAAUGCUUAGAGAUUACAUGGAAUACCAAUUGCGAAGGCAGGUUACUACCAAUUGAUUGACGCUGAUGGACGAAAUCGUGGGUAGCGAACAGGAUUAGAUACCCCCGUAGUCCCUGUCUCUUAUAC